rnacentral:misc_RNA from 1 species
AGCAGCCGCGGUAAUUCCAGCUCCAAUAGCGUAUAUUAAAGUUGUUGCAGUUAAAAGCUCGUAGUUGAAUUUCGGAAUUAGUAGUCUGGUCGUGCCACUGGUAUGUACUGGUCUUACUGAUUUCUCCCUCUUGAAGAACCGUAAUGUCAUUAAUUUGGUGUUGCGGGGAAUCUGGACUGUUACUUUGAAGAAAUUAGAGUGUUUAAAGCAGGCUAACGCUUGAAUACAUUAGCAUGGAAUAAUGAAAUAGGAGUUCGAUCCUAUUUUGUUGGUUUCUAGGAUUGACGUAAUGAUUAAUAGGGAUAGUUGGGGGCAUUAGUAUUCAAUUGUCAGAGGUGAAAUUCUUGGAUUUAUUGAAGACUAACUACUGCGAAAGCAUUUGCCAAGGAUGUUUUCAUUAAUCAAGAACGAAAGUUAGGGAUCGAAGACGAUCAGAUACCGUCGUGUCUU